ACUUCGUCCAGAAGUGAAUCUGUCCCACACGUACUCCAGUCGGUCUUCAUUCAAGGUAUUGAGAACUAAGCUCCUAACUGCCUUGAAGUUCGAGUACAUGUGCAGGACUGUCAGGAAGAAGAAGACGCCCCAAACGAAUCUUUGGCUCUCCAUGCCAUCAACGUAUUUCAGAAGAAAAUAACCCGCGAUCAUUCCGGCAAGCGAUAUGAGCGUUUCCUGAAAGAGACGAGGAAACAAAGGCUUCAGUGUUCGCCAUUUCCACAAAUCCUUGCUUAGAUGCUGGCGCUUCCACCCAAAACCUUACCUGAGAACCUUCCUUGGAUGUGAUGUCUGCAGCGUUCCGACCAUUUUCACUGAAGUGGUAGGUCAACGCACUUCUAGCGGCUCCUCCAGCAACACCGACAAGAGCAAAGCAGAUCCUUGCGAAGCACAGGCAGAAGAAGAAAAGAUAAUCGAUUUGCUUGGUAGACUUGGGAGCAAGUGCUGUCAAAAAAGCAAGGAUGAUUAGACCAGAAGAAAGACGUCAGUGCCGGCAUCAUCACUGCAUUUCGCGAUCAGAACUCACCUGGGGUCAAAAGAUCGAGGCAGAGGCCAACGUUAUUCAUUGCAUCCGCGAACAAUCUCCAUUGCUUUGGCUUGCAAUCAAAUCCUGUGCCCUGAAGACUGGCGAAAACGACGCCCGCCAACAUGCCGGCGAUAUCUCGCAUCAAAAAAAUGAAGACAGCCGAUAGCGCCGAGGCGCUCUCCACACCAACACCGACGCCCUUCAUCAGGGCAUGGGAGGUGAGCAUACCCCUGACGUACGAGCUGAAACCUUGGAUCGUGUCCCACCUGGCGUAAGACAAAAACGUCAAAGGUCGUUAGUAAAGCCAACAAACUCAACCGACCGACCAACCGGUUCUGUGAACUGUGAAAAUAGCUCACAUUUGAAAGGGCAGGUAGUCUGCGGGCACAGACUCCGGAAACCCUUGGGGGAGAAACAUCCUCACAAAGAGGUUCCGCAACGGGCGGAAGAGCGACAAUCCACCCCCUUUGCCACUGCCUUGUUUAUGGACUGAAAAAUCCACGUAAAACUCUCUGCCAUCGACAUCGACGCGGUAGCACCCCAGGGCAUUCCGCGGAAAGAUGCUCACGUCCGUGCGACCGGAUUGAGGGACAAGAUACAGGCCCUCAUAGGGUGCCACCUCGCCAUCGUCGCCACGCCUCACCCCAGCAACAGUGCGGUGCCAGUAGUGUCCUUCUCCCUCCCGCAAAACGCCUUUGGUCUCCUUCGUGCCGGCCCCCGGUCUCUUCCCCUUGUAGAUGAUCGCCCACGGAACGCGGCAAACAUCCUUCAUCGGUAUAUACUCUGCAUUCCCCUCCAUCUCUGAACAACCUCAGUCUUCCGCCCUCGUUACCAACCUCCUUCUGUGAAGAGGAACCUCUCCUCCCCAGUGCGUGCACGCACGCACUCCCUUGUUUUUGGAUGACGUCCCUCGUCCAACCGCGAGCCAAAACAGACAAAGCGACGGAUCGAUAGAAAGAUCUUGAGGCACGCAGCUUCGGUUUUACGUCCUCCUCCACCUCUCUCGCGGUGUGACGCUCGCUUGAGUCGUAGCCUUAGCGCCCUGCCCCGCCUCCCUCUGGACCUGGACAAACAAAUCAAAUCAAAUCAAAUCAUUGUGUUUCAGUCUCUCCGAUCCUCAUCACGGCGUCGAACGAAAGAGCUCUACACAAAGCUUGGACCUGUGAGCUUUCCAAUACGUUGCCUCCCACAACUUACCUGUUGCCGAAGCACAAGAUCACAAGAUCAAAACCAAACCCAUCAGAAAACAAGCCACAAAGUGAGCCUCAAAUCCUCGUCACGACGUCGUUCCUUUCCAUGGAGACGUCUACGGAAAGAUCACGAGAUGCGUCAUGUGUCUACGACCCACUCCACGACCUCCGCACUCCCCCUCGUCUGGUAUCGUUGGACGUUGUCCUUACCUCCUCUUGCUCUUGG
rnacentral:rRNA from 1 species